GGUGGGUUAGCCCAGUGGUUAGGGCUUAGGUCUUGUAACCGGAAGGCCUCGUGAUCGAAUCUCUCAUCAACUG
rnacentral:tRNA from 1 species